UACGAAGGUGGCAAGCGUUGUUCGGAUUUACUGGGCGUAAAGGGAGCGUAGGUGGUUAGGUAAGCCCUCCGGGAAAUCUUCAGGCUUAACCUGAAAAGGUCGGGGGGACUGCCUAGCUAGAGGGCGGGAGAGGAGCGCGGAAUUCCCGGUGUAGCGGUGAAAUGCGUAGAGAUGUGGAGGAACACCGAUGGCGAAGGCAGCCUCCGUGGGCCAGCACUGACGCUCAUGCACGAAAGCGUGGGGAGCAAACAGG
rnacentral:rRNA from 1 species